rnacentral:rRNA from 1 species
UCCGUAGGCGGGUAAUUAAGUCAGAGGUGUAAUCCCACAGCUUAACUGUGGAACUGCCUUAGAUACUGGUUAUCUUGAGUUUUAGUGAAGUAGAUAGAAUGUGUAGUGUAGCGGUGAAAUGCAUAGAUAUUACACAGAAUACCGAUUGCGAAGGCAGUCUACUAACUAACAACUGACGCUAAUGGACGAAAGCGUGGGGAGCGAACAGGAUUAGAUACCCUGGUAGUCC